GGUACGGUCGGAUAGUGGUUAUUCCGGCGGUUUACUACGAGAGCUUGCCUCUGUUGUCUGCCACUGCCCCUCGGGCUCCAGGGUUCAAAUCCCUGUCGUACCU